rnacentral:rRNA from 1 species
GACGAACGCUGGCGGCGUGCUUAAAACAUGCAAGUCGAACGGGAUCCAGCCUUCGGGCGAAGAUCUAGUGGCGAACGGGUGAGUAACACGUGAGCAACCUACCCCAGAGACCGGGAUAAGCGAGGGAAACUUCGUCUAAUACCGGAUAAUCUCCUCCCGCUACUAACGGGUUGAGCAAAUGGUUUUUCGCUUUGGGAUGGGCUCGCGCACUAUCAGCUUGUUGGUGGGGUAAUGGCCUACCAAGGCGUCGACGGUUAGCUGGUCUGAGAGGAUGGUCAGCCACACUGGGACUGAGACACGGCCCAGACUCCUACGGGAGGCAGCAGUUAGGAAUCUUGCGCAAUGGGCGAAAGCCUGACGCAGCAACGCCGCGUGUGGGAUGAAGGCUUUC